ACUAGUUAUGUCUGGCUUCACUCCAUGGUCUUUCUGUGGUUAUCUCUUCUCCACUCCUCCUCCAUGGUUUCUCCCUCCAUCGACUCCACCCUGGGCCAUCCACCUGGCUGUGUCUUGGGUCCUCCUCCUGCCUCACCUUCCUCCUAGAACUCCUCCCUGGCCUCCUCCUCCAUUCCAUCCCCUCCAACUCCCCUCCUGGAUCCUGUGACUCCUCACUGGCCUCCUCCUGUUUCCAUGCACUCUCUCCUGGUUCCUCCUCCACAGACUCCCCUUCACCCCCUCCUUUCGUUUAGGUGCGGUGGUGUGCCUUUUAAAGGGGAGUGGGGAGGCGGGGAGGGGGUACUGUCACAACCUGACUUCCUCGUGUGUUUAUUUUUUUUCACCAUGUGCUCCAUUCUUCCAGUUCCAAUCAUUGUCAUUACCCUCAUUGUGUAUUUAAGUCCUUGUAUUCAGUUCAGCCAUUGUCUGCUAUAUUCUCACUAGUUAUGUCUGUCUUCACUCCAUGUUCUUCCUGUGUUCAUCUCCGUAAGUCUUGUAAAUGAAUAAAUGUGCUUUGAUAAACCUG
rnacentral:lncRNA from 1 species